rnacentral:rRNA from 1 species
CCUACGGGAGGCAGCAGUGGGGAAUAUUGGACAAUGGGGGGAACCCUGAUCCAGCCAUGCCGCGUGUGUGAAGAAGGCCCUCGGGUUGUAAAGCACUUUCAGUGAGGAAGAACGCCUGGUGGUUAAUACCCAUCAGGAAAGACUUCACUCACAGAAGAAGCACCGGCUAACUCCGUGCCAGCAGCCGCGGUAAUACGGAGGGUGCGAGCGUUAAUCGGAAUUACUGGGCGUAAAGCGCGCGUAGGUGGCUUGAUAAGCCGGUUGUGAAAGCCCCGGGCUCAACCUGGGAACGGCAUCCGGAACUGUCAAGCUAGAGUGCAGGAGAGGAAGGUAGAAUUCCCGGUGUAGCGGUGAAAUGCGUAGAGAUCGGGAGGAAUACCAGUGGCGAAGGCGGCCUUCUGGACUGACACUGACACUGAGGUGCGAAAGCGUGGGUAGCAAACAGGAUUAGAUACCCGGGUAGUC